rnacentral:lncRNA from 1 species
GUGGCAAUGCAUCGUUAUUGUACACCUUCAUAGCUGAAUAGUGUCUUUGCCUUCUGAGAAAAUUCUUUCGACCAAACACAACUGUGCUGCCCCAGCUCCAGUUCUGCAUGGUUCCAUAGAGGAUGACACAAUGUGGUCCUAUAUUCCAAAAUUCUGUGAUGUGAUGAGGUCAGUCAGAGCCCAGACACUGCUGUGGAAGCUGCCAGACUGAAGCCCUUGCGCUGAAAAGUCUGGGUUCUGAUGGGCUGAAAAUGCAGCAUAUAAGGCAUGCAAACAAAUGCAGUGCUUAGAAUUGGAGAGGACAGAAGCCUGGUGGUGCUGACCAUAUAAAUGAUCUUUGCUGAAUUCCUGGUUGAAGAUGAAGUGCUGAUGUGUGGAAAGAAGGAUACAGUACUUAUUAGCCUUUUGAUGGCUAAUACCAUGUAUCUGCAUUAUCAUCUAUGACAGCUACAUGUGGAAUAUUAUCCAUUAUCUUUUGAAGUUUUAUUUUUGGAAGCAGAGCUGCAGUCCUGUGGAGCCAUCACUCCUGUGCUGUUGAGUGACCUCUUGGAUUUUCUUCGCCAUAACAAAAAUCAUAACUAGUAAAUGUGUCAUAUUAUUUGCUACUGACUGAUAUGUAGCUGUUAUGCAUGUUUUUAUACAGAUGAAAGUCUUGAUAUUGUAUCACAUAGUAAGCUGAUAGAGAAAUAACUCCCCUUGCCUGAAUAACAUGUGUUGUUUGCUGGAGAUCAGAG